rnacentral:lncRNA from 1 species
UUUGAGCUUGUUUGAUCUAGUCAGAAUUUUUUGUAUACUGCUAUUUUGCUAGAGUUGUUUAAAGAAAAUUAUUAUAAUUUCUUUUAUAAAAGUAUACAAAACUUAUCUGAACUAUAGACGAUCUUGAUUUGGUUGUCCAACCGUUAAAAAUUUUGAUUUUAUUGUCCAAUCUUUCAAAUUGUUUAAUUUGAGUCGGUCAACAACAUUUUUUCUUCAAAAUUUAAAUAUUUUAUUUAUCUUUACUCACACUUUUUAUAAUUUUCGCAACUGUAAAUUCAUCAAAGUAAGUAAUUAACUUAAAUUUUUUGAAGUGAAAAUGUUGUUGACUUACUCAAAUUAAACAAAUUAAAAGUUUGGAUAGUAAAAUUAAAUUUUUAAAAUUUUGAAUAGCUAAUUCAAAAUGAUCUAUAAUUCAGAUAAAUUUUGUAUAUUUUUAUCUUUUUUUUAAAUUAAAUUCUCCUCAACAACUU